rnacentral:rRNA from 1 species
UACAGAGGGUGCAAGCGUUAAUCGGAAUUACUGGGCGUAAAGGGCGCGUAGGUGGUGGCUUAAGCGUGCGGUGAAAGCUCGGAGCUCAACUCCGAGUCGGCCGUGCGAACUGGGCUCACUGGAGCAUAGUAGAGGCAGGUGGAAUUCCCGGUGUAGCGGUGGAAUGCGUAGAGAUCGGGAAGAACAUCAGUGGCGAAGGCGGCCUGCUGGGCUGUUGCUGACGCUGAGGCGCGACAGCCGUGGGGAGCAAACAGG